rnacentral:rRNA from 1 species
CAAGGAAUCUUCCGCAAUGGGGGCAACCCUGACGGAGCAACGCCGCGUGGGGGAUGAGGCGCUUCGGCGUGUAAACCCCUUUUCUGCGGGAUGAAGGGCUGGGGUGACCUGGCCUUGACAGUACCGGAGGAAGAAGGACCGGCUAACUACGUGCCAGCAGCCGCGGUAAUACGUAGGGUCCGAGCGUUGUCCGGAGUUACUGGGCGUAAAGGGCGCGCAGGCGGCGGUGUUGGCCCGGCGUGAAAGCCCCCGGCUCAACCGGGGAGGGUCGUCGGGGACCGCACCGCUUGAGGGCGGUAGGGGCUGGUGGAAUGCCUGGUGUAGUGGUGAAAUGCGUAGAGAUCAGGCGGAACACCCGUGGCGAAGGCGGCCAGCUGGGGCCGUCCCUGACGCUGAGGCGCGAAGGCGUGGGGAGCGAACGGGAUUAGAUACCCCGGUAGUCCACGCAGUAAACGAUGCCGACUAGGCGUGGGGGGAGUUGACCCCCUCCGUGCCGGAGCCAACGCGGGAAGUCGGCCGCCUGGGGAGUACGGCCGCAAGGCU